rnacentral:rRNA from 1 species
ACGGGUGAGUAAUGCCUAGGAAUCUGCCUGAUAGUGGGGGAUAACGUUCGGAAACGGACGCUAAUACCGCAUACGUCCUACGGGAGAAAGCAGGGGACCUUCGGGCCUUGCGCUAUCAGAUGAGCCUAGGUCGGAUUAGCUAGUUGGUGAGGUAAUGGCUCACCAAGGCGACGAUCCGUAACUGGUCUGAGAGGAUGAUCAGUCACACUGGAACUGAGACACGGUCCAGACUCCUACGGGAGGCAGCAGUGGGGAAUAUUGGACAAUGGGCGAAAGCCUGAUCCAGCCAUGCCGCGUGUGUGAAGAAGGUCUUCGGAUUGUAAAGCACUUUAAGUUGGGAGGAAGGGCAUUAACCUAAUACGUUAGUGUUUUGACGUUACCGACAGAAUAAGCACCGGCUAACUCUGUGCCAGCAGCCGCGGUAAUACAGAGGGUGCAAGCGUUAAUCGGAAUUACUGGGCGUAAAGCGCGCGUAGGUGGUUUGUUAAGUUGGAUGUGAAAUCCCCGGGCUCAACCUGGGAACUGCAUUCAAAACUGACUGACUAGAGUAUGGUAGAGGGUGGUGGAAUUUCCUGUGUAGCGGUG